GACAAAUUAGCUCAGUCGGUAGAGCAUCGGAAUUUCCAGUCCGAGUGUCACAGAUUCGACCCCUGUAUUUGUUA
rnacentral:tRNA from 1 species